rnacentral:rRNA from 1 species
AAACCAAAAAUAGCUCAAAACAUAAUACCACUAAACUAAUAAUAUAAAUUUAAAUAAAACAUUAAAUAUAACUAAAGUAUAGGUGAUAGAAAUUUUAUAUGACGCUAUAGAAAAAGUACCGCAAGGGAAAAAAUGAAAGAAAAUAUAAGUACAAAAUAGCAAAGUUUAACACUUGUACCUUUUGCAUAAUGACUCAACUAGAAGAUAUUAGCAAAAUGAACUGAAGUUAAGUGGCCCGAAACCAGACGAGCUACCUAUUUAGCAGCAUAUAGAGCGAACCCGUCUAUGUGGCAAAAUAGUGGGACGACUACUAGGUAGUGGCGACAAACCUAUCGAGCCUGGUGAUAGCUGGUUGUCCAGAAUAGAAUUUUAGUUCCAAUUUAAGCCUGCAGAAAAAAUAAGUAAAUUAAAAUGUAGACUUAAAGAGUAAUCUAAAAAGGUACAGCUUUUUAGAUCAGGGAAACAACCCUUAUUAGAGAGUAAGACAUAAAUUAAACCACAAUAGUUGGCCUAAAAGCAGCCACCAAAUAAGAAAGCGUUCAAGCCCGACCGCACUUAAAAUUAAUUCCAACUAUAACUCCAAAACUCCUAACACAAAACUGGGCUAUUCUAUUUACAAAUAGAAGCAACAAUGUUGAUAUGAGUAACAAGAAAAAAUUCUCCUAGCACAUGUGUAUAUCAGAACGAAUAAUUCGCUGAUAGUUACCAAAAUAAACACAACCAACUAAUCAAAUAAUUAAUAUUAAUUGUUAACCCAACACAGGAGUGCAGUCAAGGAAAGAUCUAAAAAAGUAAAAGGAACUCGGCAAACACAAAUUCCGCCUGUUUACCAAAAACAUCACCUCUAGCAUAAAAAGUAUUAGAGGCAUUGCCUGCCCAGUGACUUUAGUUUAACGGCCGCGGUAUUCUGACCGUGCAAAGGUAGCAUAAUCACUUGUUCCCUAAAUAGGGACUCGUAUGAACGGCUUCACGAGAAUUUUGCUGUCUCUUACUUUAAAUCAGUGAAAUUGACAUCCCCGUGAAGAGGCGGGGAUUAAAAAAUAAGACGAGAAGACCCUAUGGAGCUUUAAUUAACCAGCUUAUGGACUAUAAAAUCAAUCUACAAGAGAUAAAUACGCUUCAAUUAAGAUGGCAAUUUAGGUUGGGGUGACCUCGGAAUAAAGACUAACUCCCGAGAAAGUUCUAUUAAGACCUACAAGUCAAAAUUAUUUUACUAUAUAUUGAUCCGCCACUCAGCGACCAACGGAACAAGUUACCCUAGGGAUAACAGCGCAAUCCUAUUUAAGAGUCCAUAUCGACAAUUAGGGUUUACGACCUCGAUGUUGGAUCAGGACACCCUAAUGGUGCAGCAGCUAUUAACGUGUUCGUUUGUUCAACGAUUAAAGUCCUACGUGAUCUGAGUUCAGACCGGAGUAAUCCAGGUCGGUUUCUAUCUAUUUACAAGUCCCUCCCAGUACGAAAGGACAAGAGAGACAGGGCCCACUUAAAACUAAGCGCNNNNNNNNNNNNNNNNNNNNNNNNNNNNNNNNNNNNNNNNNNNNNNNNCAAAAUAAGGGUCU